UGAGGAACAUGACCUUCGGCGGGGGAGUAGCCGGCCCAACGGCCGGGUAAUACCGCGUACGACCACUUUGGGACAUCCCUAGGUGGUGAAAGCAGCAAUGCGCCGAUGGAGUGCCUCGCGGCCUAUCAGCUAGUUGGUGAGGUAACGGCUCACCAAGGCAACGACGGGUAGCUGGUCUGAGAGGAUGGCCAGCCACAUUGGGACUGAGACACGGCCCAGACUCCUACGGGAGCAG
rnacentral:rRNA from 1 species